rnacentral:lncRNA from 1 species
UUGGCGAGAAAUACUUCUUCGCCACAAUUUGUUAUUGAGAAAGAACUAUGGGCACCUUCAUUACACAAAUAAAUAGUACAUGUAUUUGUUCACUUUUCCAUUCCCAUCUAAGUGUAAAAUUAUAGUAAGAUAUGAAUACUGUUUUAGAUUAAUUAUCCCAUUUUGCAUUGUAACUCUAUAAGUCGAGGGUUACACAUUUUACUAUUACAUAAAUACAUAUUUCUCGCAUGCUAUCAGGUUUGGCGGUUCCUGCAAAACCACCUUUCUAAAACCGGGUAUCUGAAUACCGCUAGAAAUACCUCCUUGCUAAUUUGAUAACCACCUACUCUCAAAACUACCAGUUGAAACCACACCCAAAAACCGCCAUUUUGAAACCACACCCAAAACUGCCAUUUAAAAAACCACAGAUCUGAUCCCAAAAGUACCAUUUGUAUCCAGAUCCCAAAACCGCCAUCCGAAACCUCCGUGAAAAGAGGCCCUAACCCUUCUCUCCACUACACAACGGGUGUUGUCUCUCUUGUGAACCAGAGCAAGGAGUCAUUGUGGGCUCUGAGAUCUCCAUCAAAGCAGCAGAAAUCAAAACCCGAGAAACAUCUCUCUCCGGCAUUCCUGUCUCAAGGGAAGAUUCAUCACCAUUGGAUCCCAAGGUGUUCAUCAUUUGUUCGUCAGUCGUGGCACCAGUCGCCAUUGCCAUUGCGUUCCAGGUACUCUAUUUCGCCAUCAGUUACCUUUCCAUCCAUGUUUGCUCAGAGGGUGUUUUCUAGGGCAGAGAACCUAACUCAAUAUUUCCUCAAAAGGAACAGGCCACUCGUCCAACACCAGUUUGUACUUCUUUUUAAUGCAAAAGUUUCAAAAGUGAGAGGGACUACCUUGGUCACUAGGGACUAUAUUAUUUUCAUCUUAUUGCAUUUCACUUGCGGU